UCGCGAAAACUUCACAAUGGGGGAAACCCCGAUGAGGGAAUUCCAAGUGCCAGCACAUUGUGUUGGCUGUUCUCUGGUCUAAAAAACCGGAGAAGUAAGGGCCGGGUAAGACGGGUGCCAGCCGCCGCGGUAAUACCCGCGGCCCGAGUGGUGGUCGAUAUUAUUGAGCCUAAAACGUCCGUAGCCGGUUUUGUAAAUCCUUGGGUAAAUCGACCAGCUUAACUGUUCGAAGUCCGGGGAGACUGCAAGACUUGGGAUCGGGAGAGGUGAGAGGUACUUCUGGGGUAGGGGUAAAAUCCUGUAAUCCUAGAAGGACCACCGGUGGCGAAGGCGUCUCACUAGAACGGAUCCGACGGUGAGGGACGAAGCCCUGGGGCGCAAACGGGAUUAGAUACCCCGGUAGUCCAGGGUGUAAACGCUGCGGGCUUGGUGUCGGAGGUCCUACGUGGGCGUCCGGUGCCGGAGAGAAAUUGUUAAGCCUGCCGCUUGGGGAGUACGGUCGCAAGACUGAAACUUAAAGGAAUUGGCGGGAGAGCACCGCAACGGGAGGAGCGUGCGGUUCAAUUGGAUUCAACGCC
rnacentral:rRNA from 1 species